rnacentral:rRNA from 1 species
UACGUAGGGUGCAAGCGUUGUCCGGAAUUAUUGGGCGUAAAGAGCUCGUAGGCGGCUUGUCGCGUCUGCUGUGAAAACUCGGGGCUUAACCCCGGGCCUGCAGUGGGUACGGGCAGACUAGAGUGCGGUAGGGGGAGACUGGAAUUCCUGGUGUAGCGGUGAAAUGCGCAGAUAUCAGGAGGAACACCGGUGGCGAAGGCGGGUCUCUGGGCCGUAACUGACGCUGAGGAGCGAAAGCGUGGGGGAGCGAACAGG